UAAGGCGGAUUUAUCUGCCGCUCAUGGAUGGGCCUGCGGUGCAUUAGCUAGUUGGUGAGAUAGUAGCUCACCAAGGCGACGAUGCAUAGCCGACCUGAGAGGGUGAUCGGCCACACUGGGACUGAGACACGGCCCAGACUCCUACGGGAGGCAGCAGUAGGGAAUCUUCCGCAAUGGACGCAAGUCUGACGGAGCAACGCCGCGUGAGUGAUGAAGGGUUUCGGCUCGUAAAACUCUGUUGUUAAGGAAGAAUACUUGAGGUAGUAACUGGCCUUGAGAUGACGGUA
rnacentral:rRNA from 1 species